rnacentral:lncRNA from 1 species
UGUAUAUUUAAUGAAAUGUUUUUUAAUUGUAUAUUAUCAAACCAAAUAAAUAUAAACGAUAUUUAUUUUAUUGAUGAACAAUAUUUUAAUAGUUUGUUAUAUAUACAAAAUAAUAAAGGAGUAGAAUGUAUGGAUUUUACCUUUUGUAUUGAAGAACAAAUAGAGACAGAUAACGAAACAAACACUGAUGAUAGUUAUAGUAGCGAUAGUGAUAAUGGCAGUAGUAGUGAAAGUGAGCAAGAUAAUAAUGAUAAUAAUAUAAAUAAAUCAAAAAUUGAUAAAAAAGAAAAUUAUAAUAGAAUGAAAAAUUAUUUUAAUAAUGUAAUUAGAAUUAUAACAGAAAAUAAAAUAACAUAUGAUGGUGAUAGUAGACGUACUUUACCAUAUAAUAUGGAUAAAACUAAUAUAAAACCUUUUUUUUUUUUUUUCGUUACCACUGGUUUCGAUGCAUGUAACAAUUAAUAAUAUACCAUCACUUAUAUGUAAUAAUUUUAAAAUUAAUAAUAUAGCUGAUCCAAGUUUUGAUCAUUUUGGUCAUUUUUUGUUAUAGCUUAAGUGAUAGUUUAGGUGAUAGUUUAGAUGAUAGUUUAGGUGAUGGUUUAGGUGAUAGUUUAGGUGAUAGAAAUAUCAAGGUUUCCAAUCAAAGAUGUAAAAGAACAAGUAACCCUUUUUUCGUUUAUUUUUCUGGAAGCGCUUCGAACCAUGCUUCUAUCAGAAUACAUAUUGUUGAUGAACUAAUUACGAGAUAUUCAAAUGUAUCUAAGUUAGGUGGUACAUAUUUGGAUGCACCAAAAAGUGCAUCUAAAGUUAUAAAUAAUAGUGUCCUAUAUACAGAUUUAACUAAAAAAAAUAACCAAUAUUAAUAAUAUCAAAAAAAUUAACGACAUAUUAUUAAAAAUACCUACAAAUAAUAUAAGAGAAAAGUUUUUAAUAAAGUUUUUGCAAAUUAUAACUGCUGUUACUGGUGCUACUAAUAGUAGUCGUAACAUGGGGUAUACCGAACAAACAGAUGGUGAUAAAUCAUAUCGUGUAAAUAUAGUAAAUGCAUUGGAAUAUAAAAUAAUAUAUUUAAUGUUAUGGCUUAAUCAAGUGAUCCGUUUAAUACAUGUGAAAAUGAUUAAUAAAGAUAUGUGCAAAAAACUAUGUAGUAGUAUGUGUAGUGGUAUAUGUAGUGGUAUGUGUAGUGGUAUAUGUAGUAGUAUGUGUAGUGGUAUAUGUAGUGGUAUGUGUAGUGGUAUAUGUAGUAGUAUGUGUAGUGGUAUAUGUAGUGGUAUAUGUAGUGGUAUAUGUAGUGGUAUGUGUAGUGGUAUAUGUAGUGGUAUAUGUAGUGGUAUAUGUAGUGGUAUGUGUAGUGGUAUAUGUAGUAGUAUGUGUAGUGGUAUGUGUAGUGGUAUAUGUAGUAGUAUGUGUAGUGGUAUAUGUAGUAGUAUGUGUAGUGGUAUGUGUAGUGGUAUGUGUAGUGGUAUAUGUAGUGGUAUGUAUAGUGGUAUAUGCAAAAACGAUUUAAAACGAAGUGGUAUUAAAAAACUAAUAAAGCAACUUAACCGAACAAGUGAUUCCUACAUUAAAAAGAAUACAAAAAAUUGGUGAUACAACCAAAACAAAUAAACAAAAACUCGGAUCAAUAAUAGAUAUAAUA